rnacentral:rRNA from 1 species
AACGAACGCUGGCGGCAUGCCUAACACAUGCCAGUCGAACGAGACCUUCGGGUCUAGUGGCGCACGGGUGCGUAACGCGUGGGAACCUGCCCUUAGGUUCGGAAUAACUCCCCGAAAGGGGUGCUAAUACCGGCUAAUGUCUUCGGCCCAAAGAUUUAUCGCCUUUGGAUGGGCCCGCGUUGGAUUAGCUAGUUGGUAGGGUAAAAGCCUACCAAGGCGACGAUCCAUAGCUGGUCUGAGAGGAUGAUCAGCCACACUGGGACUGAGACACGGCCCAGACUCCUACGGGAGGCAGCAGUGGGGAAUAUUGGACAAUGGGCGAAAGCCUGAUCCAGCAAUGCCGCGUGAGUGAUGAAGGCCUUAGGGUUGUAAAGCUCUUUUACCCGGGAUGAUAAUGACAGUACCGGGAGAAUAAGCUCCGGCUAACUCCGUG